rnacentral:rRNA from 1 species
GAUUAUGGCUCAGAACGAACGCUGGUGGCGUGUCUUAUACAUGCAAGUCGAGCGGUCCGCAAGGAUAGCGGCGAACGGGUGAGUAACGCGUAAGCAAUCUGCCCCGCAUAUUGGGAUAGCCGUGCCGACGCGCGGAUAAUACCGAAUAACGUGGCCCCGGACAUCCGGGGUUGACGAAAGAUUCAUCGAUGCGGGAUGAGCUUGCGUCCGAUUAGCUAGUUGGCGGGCAACGGCCCACCAAGGCGACGAUCGGUAGCCGGCCUGAGAGGGUGAUCGGCCACAUUGGGACUGAGAUACGGCCCAGACUCCUACGGGAGGCAGCAGUAGGGAAUAUUGCACAAUGGGGGAAACCCUGAUGCAGCAACGCCAACCGUGUGGGAAGAAGCAUUUCGGUGUGUAAACCACUGUCGUGAGGGAAUAAUACGCGUCUUCGGGCGCGGGAGAAUGUACCUCGAAAGGAAGCACCGGCAAACUUCGUGCCAGCCGCCGC